rnacentral:lncRNA from 1 species
GGGAGCGCUCUUCCUAGCCAUUUUUCGGUGUUCGUGUCUCGGAGCCUUGGGGAGGAUGUGGUUGGUGGCCUUAUAAUACGUAAUCACCUUAAAGGUGGGGCUCUUGGGUGUUCGGUGCCCCCCACCUUUAUGGCACUUACGUAUUAUGGGGCUACCGUCCAUAUCCUCUCUGGGGCUUUGGGACGCGAGCGCCGAGGAGUGGCUGGGAGGAGCGCUCCCAUGUUUUUCCGGCUUCUCCGUGGCGACAGGGGCUGGAUGGUGGAGCGUGGGAGGGCGGGCGUGUGCUCCGUCCCUCUGCGGGGUCCGGAUGGGGGCUGCAUCCAGUAUUGUAUGGA